rnacentral:rRNA from 1 species
GAUGAACGCUGGCGGCGUGCUUAACACAUGCAAGUCGAACGAUUGAAGCUGGAGCUUGCUCUGCCCGAUUUAGUGGCGGACGGGUGAGUAACGCGUGGGUAUCCUGCCUCAUACAGGGGGAUAGCAGUUGGAAACGACUGGUAAAACCGCAUAAGCGCACGGUGUCGCAUGGCACAGUGUGAAAACACUCCGGUGGUAUUAGAGGGACCCGCGUCUGAUUAGAUAGUUGGUGAGGUAACGGCCCACCAAGGCGACGAUCAGUAGCCGGCCUGAGAGGGUGAACGGCAACAUUGGGACUGAGACACGGCCCAAACUCCUACGGGAGGCAGCAGUGGGGAAUAUUGCACAAUGGGGGAAACCCUGAUGCAGCGACGCCGCGUGAGUGGUGAAGUAUUUCGGUAUGUAAAGCUCUAUCAGCAGGGAAGAUAAUGACGGUACCUGACUAAGAAGCACCGGCUAAAUACGUGCCAGCCGCCGCCGUAACAC